GACGGGGGGGCAAGUGUUCUUCGGAAUGACUGGGCGUAAAGGGCACGUAGGCGGUGAAUCGGGUUGAAAGUGAAAGUCGCCAAAAAGUGGCGGAAUGCUCUCGAAACCAAUUCACUUGAGUGAGACAGAGGAGAGUGGAAUUUCGUGUGUAGGGGUGAAAUCCGUAAAUAUACGAAGGAACGCCAAAAGCGAAGGCAGCUCUCUGGGUCCCUACCGACGCUGGGAGUGCGAAAGCAUGGGGAGCGAACAGG
rnacentral:rRNA from 1 species